CGCGCAGGCGGCCAGGCCAGUCGGAGGUGAAAUCCCUCAGCUCAACUGAGGAACUGCCUCCGAUACUGCAUGGCUUGAGUCCCGGAGAAGGUAGCGGAAUUCCUAGUGUAGCGGUGAAAUGCGUAGAUAUUAGGAGGAACACCAGUGGCGAAGGCGGCUACCUGGACGGGUACUGACGCUGAGGCGCGAAAGCGUGGGGAGCAAACA
rnacentral:rRNA from 1 species